rnacentral:rRNA from 1 species
CCUACGGGAGGCAGCAGUUGGGAAUCUUGCACAAUGGGGGAAACCCUGAUGCAGCGACGCCGCGUGGAGGAUGAAGGAUCUAGGUCUGUAAACUCCUUUUAUCGGGAAAGACUUAGGACGGUACCCGAUGAAUAAGCACCGGCUAACUACGUGCCAGCAGCCGCGGUGAGACGUAGGGUGCAAGCGUUGUCCGGAUUUACUGGGCGUAAAGAGCGCGUAGGCGGUCUGUUAAGUGUAGAGUGAAAGCUCCGGGCUCAACCUGGAAAUUGCUCUGCAUACUGGCAGACUUGAGGAAUGGAGAGGUUUGUGGAAUUCCUGGUGUAGCGGUGAAAUGCAUUGAUAUCAGGAGGAACACCGAUGGCGAAGGCAGCAAACUGGCCAUUAUCUGACGCUGAGGCGCGAAAGCGUGGGUAGCAAACAGGAUUAGAUACCCGAGUAGU